UCCGGCUGGUACAGGGCGCGGGCGCGGCGCUCAUGGUGCCGCAGGUGCUCAGCCUGAUCCAGCGUUCGUUCGACGGGGCCGGCCGGGCCC
rnacentral:tRNA from 1 species